UCCGUUGGUGAACCAGCGGAGGGAUCAUUACAGAGUUGAAAAACUCCCUAAACCACUGUGAAUCUUACCUUUUCGUUCGUUGCUUUGGCGGGCGGCUCCAGGGCGGAGCCACUGUCCGUUGGGUCGGGUGCCCGCCGAAGGACAACCAAAAACUCGUUAAGUUUUGUACGGAUCUCAGAGUUAAAAUAUCAAGCUAUCAAAACUUUCAGCAACGGAUCUCUUGGUUCUGGCAUCGAUGAAGAACGCAGCGAAAUGCGAUAAGUAAUGUGAAUUGCAGAAUUCAGUGAAUCAUCGAAUCUUUGAACGCACAUUGCGCCCGCCAGCACUCUGGCGGGCAUGCCUGUUCGAGCGUCAUUUCAACCCUCGGGCCCUAGUUUGGCCCGGUGUUGGGGCGCUACGGGUCUCCCGGACCCGUAGGCCCUUAAAGACAGUGGCGGGCUCGCCAGGACUCCGAGCGCAGUAGUUCUCCUCUCGCUCAGGCGGCCUGGCGUGCUUCGGCCGUUAAACUCCCCCAACUGUAAACACAGUAAGGUUGACCUCGGAUCAGG
rnacentral:rRNA from 1 species